CCCUGUCGACGGAUCGCCACCUUGACGAGGUGACAGGGCUCACGGACACGAUGACCCCCCGGUUCGCUGGCACUCCGGUGUCACGCGGCCCGUGGGGCGAGUGUCUGUGCCAAGAGCGGU
rnacentral:ribozyme from 1 species